GACGAACGCUGGCGGCGCGCUUAACACAUGCAAGUCGAACGGAAAGGCCUGCUUUCCCUUGUGGAUUGCGGGUACUCGAGUGGCGAACGGGUGAGUAACACGUGAGUGAUCUGCCCCCAACUUGGGUAUAAGCCUGGGAAACUGGGUCUAAUUCCCGAUAGGACUGCAGGGUGGUGCCUGUGGUGGAAAACGAUUUUCUAGUGGUUGGGGAUGAGCUCGCGGCCUAUCAGCUUGUUGGUGGGGUAAUGGCCUACCAAGGCGGCGACGGGUAGCCGGCCUGAGAGGGUGGACGGCCACAUUGGGACUGAGAUACGGCCCAGACUCCUACGGGAGGCAGCAGUGGGGAAUAUUGCGCAAUGGGCGGAAGCCUGAUGCAGCGACGCCGCGUGGGGGAUGACGGCCUUCGGGUUGUAAACUCCUUUCGACCGCGAGGAAGCCACCUGGUUGGAAGGGUGGUGACGGUAGUGGUAGAAGAAGCACCGGCUAACUACGUG
rnacentral:rRNA from 1 species